UACGGAGGGUGCAAGCGUUAUCCGGAUUCACUGGGCUUAAAGGGUGCGUAGGUGGGCAGGUAAGUCAGUGGUGAAAUCUCCGGGCUUAACCCGGAAACUGCCAUUGAUACUAUCAGUCUUGAAUACCGUGGAGGUAAGCGGAAUAUGUCAUGUAGCGGUGAAAUGCUUAGAUAUGACAUAGAACACCAAUUGCGAAGGCAGCUUACUAGCCGAAUAUUGACACUGAGGCACGAAAGCGUGGGGAUCAAACAGG
rnacentral:rRNA from 1 species